AGGCAAGCAUUUCCGGACGCCACUUCAAAUAGGUAAAAUUCAACUUUUAUUUCAAAUGCAUUAAAACCAUAAUGUCCUAGGACAUUAUGGUUUUAAUGCAUUUGAAAUAAAAGUUGAAUUUUACCUAUUUGAAGUAAUGUCCGGAAGUGCUUGCCU
rnacentral:pre_miRNA from 1 species